CCCGGCCGCCCCUUCCCGUGGCACGAGAUAAUUUUUGCCCUUUUUUUUUUUUUCACAGCAGACCCGACGGCGAGAGGUCCUCCUACGUCCUACGAGCGCGAGGGGCGACUUCGGCAUCUCACCGCAGAGAAGGCGUUAGGAUCUAUCACGCCAGCUACCUGGAAGACACCAAUUUUCCUGUAACGCGUUCCGGAAGGUUAAAUAAUUUAAUGUUCUUCAACUAAAAAUAACACCC